GACGAACGCUGGCGGCGUGCCUAAUACAUGCAAGUUGAGCGCUGAAGGUUGGUACUUGUACCAACUGGAUGAGCAGCGAACGGGUGAGUAACGCGUGGGGAAUCUGCCUUUGAGCGGGGGACAACAUUUGGAAACGAAUGCUAAUACCGCAUAAAAACUUUAAACACAAGUUUUAAGUUUGAAAGAUGCAAUUGCAUCACUCAAAGAUGAUCCCGCGUUGUAUUAGCUAGUUGGUGAGGUAAAGGCUCACCAAGGCGAUGAUACAUAGCCGACCUGAGAGGGUGAUCGGCCACAUUGGGACUGAGAAACGGCCCAAACCCCUACGGGAGGCAGCAGUAGGGAAUCUUCGGCAAUGGACGAAAGUCUGACCGAGCAACGCCGCGUGAGUGAAGAAGGUUUUCGGAUCGUAAAACUCUGUUGGUAGAGAAGAACGUUGGUGAGAGUGGAAAGCUCAUCAAGUGACGGUAACUACCCAGAAAGGGACGGCUAACUACGUG
rnacentral:rRNA from 1 species